rnacentral:rRNA from 1 species
UUAUGCUGAUAAGAGCGUAUGGUGGAUGCCUUGGCACUAAGAGCCGAUGAAAGACGUGAUAAGCUGCGAAAAGCUUCGGGGAGGAGCAAAUAUCCUUUGAUCCGGAGAUUUCUGAAUGGGGAAACCUACUUGAGCAAACCUCAAGUAUCCUUAAGCCAAUACAUAACUUAAGGAAGGGAACCCGGUGAACUGAAACAUCUAAGUAGCCGGAGGAAGAGAAAACAACAUGUGAUUCUGUGAGUAGCGGCGAGCGAAAACGGAAGAGCCCAAACCAGCGUGCGUGCAUGCUGGGGUUCGGACCGCGGAAUUGAUUCAACGAGUUUAGCAGAACGGUUUUGGGAAAGCCGGCCAGAGAGGGUGAAAGCCCCGUAAGCGAAAGACGAGUUGACAUGGCGGGAUCCAGAGUACCACGAGACACGUGGAACCUUGUGGGAAGAUGCGGGGACCACCCCGUAAGGCUAAAUACUACUUAGUGACCGAUAGCGCAUAGUACUGUGAAGGAAAGGUGAAAAGGACCCCGGGAGGGGAGUGAAAAAGAACCUGAAACCAUAUGUUUACAAGCUGUGGAAGAGCUUUAUAUGCUCAACCGCGUACUUUUUGUAGAACGGUCCGGCGAGUUACGCUGGCUGGCGAGGUUAAGGACUAAAGGUCCGGAGCCGAAGGGAAACCAAGUCUGAAUAGGGCGCAUAGUCAGUCGGAGUAGACCCGAAACCGGGUGAUCUAUCCAUGUCCAGGUUGAAGUUGCCGUAAAAGGCAAUGGAGGACCGAACCCACAUCCGUUGAAAAGGGUGGGGAUGAGGUGUGGAUAGGGGAGAAAUUCCAAUCGAACCCGGAGAUAGCUGGUUCUCCUCGAAAUAGCUUUAGGGCUAGCCUCAUACGAGUCUUGCGGAGGUAGAGCACUGAAUUCCUAAGGGGGCGUCAAAGCUUACUAAGGGAUAUCAAACUCCGAAUGCCGUGUAGAUGAUGUAUGGGAGUCAGACGAUCCGAGAUAAGUUGGGUGGUCAAAAGGGAAAGAGCCCAGACCAACAGCUAAGGCCCCAAAAUGUGUGUUAAGUGGAAAAGGAUGUGGGAUUUCGAAGACAACUAGGAUGUUGGCUCAGAAGCAGCCAUUCAUUCAAAGAGUGCGUAAUAGCUCACUAGUCGAGAGGUCCUGCGCCGAAAAUGUCCGGGGCUAAAACACACUGCCGAAGCUUUGGAAUUGAGAAUUCAAUUGGUAGAGGAGCAUUCUUAAAGGGAUGAAGCAGUACCGUAAGGAGCUGUGGACUUUUAAGAAGAGAGAAUGCCGGAAUGAGUAGCGAGAGGAAGGUGGGAAUCCUUCCGGCCGAAUAUCUAAGGUUUCCAGAGUAAAGCUGAUCUGCUCUGGGUAAGUCGGGGCCUAAGGCGAGGUCGAAAGACGUAGUCGAUGGAUAACAGGUUGAAAUUCCUGUACUAUCCUGUAACAGAACUGUGGGGACACAGGCAGAGAGCGUGAGCCGGGAAUGGAAAGACCGGUACAAGCGAGGUAGGAGAAGAGUUGGCAAAUCCGCUCUUUAAUCUGAAGACGUGAUGUGGACUGAAAAUAAGUAGGGAAGCACGUGAGCUGACUGUCAAGAAAAGCCGCUAUUGUUUGCAGGAUACCCGUACCGUAAACCGACACAGGUGGAUGAGGAGAGAAUCCUAAGGCCGACGGGAGAAGCAUUGUUAAGGAACUCGGCAAAAUGACUCCGUAACUUCGGGAGAAGGAGUGCCAGUAAGAUGGCCGCAGAGAAUUGGCCCAAGCAACUGUUUAGCAAAAACACAGGUCUAUGCAAAACCGAAAGGUGAGGUAUAUGGGCUGACGCCUGCCCGGUGCUGGAAGGUUAAGGGGAGAGGUUAGCGCAAGCGAAGCUUUGAACUUAAGCCCCAGUAAACGGCGGCCGUAACUAUAACGGUCCUAAGGUAGCGAAAUUCCUUGUCGGGUAAGUUCCGACCCGCACGAAAGGCGUAAUGAUUUGGGCACUGUCUCAAC